UUUUUAUUGGCCAGUCUGAGAUAUGGCUUUUUCUUUGCAACUAUGCCUAUAAGACCAGCAUCCCGGAGUCACCUCUUCACUGUUGACAUUGGUCUAAGUGACCCCGAACUUUUGAAUGGUAGUGUACAUUUUAACGGUCCACCCAGCCAGCGUAAUUGUAUUUAUGCAGGUGAUGUCAAUGCUCUCACUGUUCCAAAAACAAAACGCCCUCAAACUAAGGCACUCUGACUGCUAUGUUUCAACGUUCCAUCUCAUUAAUUCACAUAAAAGUAGCCCAUUUCACCGUGGAGGACAAUUUACAUUUGAGGCAUGCUAUGCUAAUGUAAGGCGAGGAUUAGCUAGAUGAGCCAGAUAAAUGUCUCUCUUCAAUGAGAACCCAAGUACUCCCCCAGUAUUUCCCCAGGUCAAGUAUGCAGACAUUUGCACAUCUCCAGUCAGAACAGAACCUGUCUGAAGAUUUCCCCCCUGGCGCAUUUUCCGGCUGGUGCCCACAUUGCCUUCAUUGUUGUUUUCCUUACUAAUAAUUACUUUGGACUUGUGUGUGUUCCUAUCAAAGUAAGUACCUUAUUACAUUAUAAUAUUUGUUUCUGUAAGUUGUUGUUGUUUCUACUGUAGCACACCGUAUGUAUCUAUUUAUGGAGCAUAAUGUAUUGUACACUCCUUUACAGUUUUACUGAAGGAACAAACAGCUAGAAAAUACAUGCCUAUAUGUGGUUGUCUAUUUUAUUGAACUAGUAGUAGUGGUUGAGCAACAAAAAUGAGUUUUACUAGAGAAAAGAAAACAGCAAGAAAAGACUGACAACUUAUAAAUAUGCAUAACCCAUAUUUCAAUAUGUAGUGAUUAAACAACAAAAACUAAAUUCCCACCCCUUAAGGCAUUGUAUCAUGGCAGGCCACCUGUCAAGUCAGUCAGUCAGUAAUUGCUGCAGAUGUGCUCAAUAGUGCUUGAGCAUAUGGUACUACCCAAAGCAUGGCGCAACACACAAGGGUGUGUCGUAAGCUAAACACAUGUACUUUGUCAACCUCCUCUGCUUCCUUCUCCUGGUGCUGGACAGGCAGACUUUGCAAUGCCUCCGUGUGUGACUGCUUUGAGCAGCAGUUUGAGGGACCUCCGAGGGAAAAUGCUGUGCAUUGAGGUGUAGGGGAUUGUCUGCAGCAGGACUGCCCCCAGUGGAUGGACGCCGAGGGGUGUGGUGCUCCUCCAGCAGCUCUCUCAUGAGCUUCUCUCUGUACUUUUGCUAGACUGUGCCACAGGCCCCUGUGCUGUUGGAGAGCAAAUGCUGGAAAAGUGUGGCACUGCUGUACCAAUUGUCCACAUACAAAGUGUGUCCCUUCGCGAGAUGAGGAACCAGUGAACUCAUCACCAUGGACCCGGGCACCCCAAGCCCCUCAUAAUGUUGGAGCUACAAGGCAUAGCGAUUGGUCUCCUCCACUGUCUUCUACCAGCUCCUCUGUCAGAAACAGUUUGAAGCACUCUGCCUCAGCGGGUGAUGGCAAGGAGUUCGCACUCCAGACUGGGACUCCUCGAAGCCAACAGCAGGGCCAGGAGGGGUGAAAUGACUGCUGGCCUCCCAACUACCUCCGUUCCCUGUACUUCACCCACUGUUAGUCUGCCUCAUCACCAGCAUCUUCAGAGAGACCUGGGACUUCGUUGGUGGGCAAGGGGUCCUCAGAUUCAGGGUUCUCAAUGGGCACAAGGUUUGUGGGGCAGUUCCUCACUGUCACUGUCAGAAUCUGAUUCCUCACUUUCAUACCCAGAAUUUCGGCAUUUGUGAGUUGUCUCCUUUUGAAAAACAUUGCUAAUGAUACAGCUUAGCCCAUUAGCUACAUACAUAAACAACAACACUGAAUGGCUCCGAGUGAGUGUCAGAGGUUACGUAAGAGUGUCAGAAGUUACAUGAUUGACUGCCGGCACGUGCCAAUUGUAUCAAUAAAUUAUUAUCAGAAAAUGGUUUGUGUGGUAAUAAUUGAUUUAUUCACUGUUUUAUUCACAUUUUCAAGUACUGGUGUUGACAAAUAAUGCAUUCUGAUUCUUGCAUAGAUUGUAAUGGACACACACUGUAUGAUGUGUGUAAAACAUUUUUUUUUAAGGUUGUACUGAUUAUGAUGAGUUAAUGCUAAGGUAAAUGCCAACUAUGUGUGCAGCCAUUUUUGUUGACAUUAUACAAAGAUGUUUUUACAAAACGAGGUGAAGGGAAGGUUCACUCGUCUUUUGAGUAAGAAGUAAAUGAUGGUACACGACACACCCCCUUCAACAUGCAUACUGCAAACAGACCCAACUCAUUUUGUCGCCUCUUCUUUGGUUGAAGCGGGGGGGAAAAAAACAUGGAGGAUCGCACAAACUCUGGGAUUACUUUCAACUUUUAGAAAGUGUUUUACUCAAUUAUUCUGAUCACUGGUGAGCUCACCCGUAAUGUGUUGAAUUGUAAAUAGUAAUUGCUAGUAGCUAAUUCCUAUUAUGGUUUCUGUCAGUAGAGAGUUAGCUAAAUAUGACCGCUUGUGUUAGCUCACUCUUUCCUCAUUUAGCACUUGGACUAAUGUAGCCUGCAUUUUCCAAUUUGGAUGAGAAUUGUGUUAAGCUGUUCCAACUUCUAUGAAUGUCUGAACAUUGUAUCCAAAACUAAACUGAUGACAUUGAGGACAUAAAGUUGUAAAGACUGUGUAUGUACAAAUUGUUUCUGUGGAAAUAAAGUGUGGCCAGCUCGAACG